rnacentral:lncRNA from 10 species
GUGAAGACGUGCAAAGCCUUGCUAAACAGGACCCAUGGGGGAGAGAUUUGAAGAAGCCAUCAGGGUUUUGACUAGAAGGCAGGGGUCCUCAAAGCUGUGAAAGUCUGAUCUAUCAGAGGUGGCUGCCAAGCUGUGCUUUCUUCUGCAGAUGGCAAAAGAAAAAGAUGUGAAACAAGACAUGUUUAAAUGGAAGAGAGAGGAAUGAGAGAGGAAGGCAAGAAUACAAAUAUUUAAGAAAGCUUUAUUUUCCUGAAGCAAAGAAUGACACUUGAAACCGAGGGAAUCUCAAUGUCCACCUUGCAUUUCCAUGACCAGCAAGAGAGGGGAACCCCUACAGGAAUGUUCAUCCUCUGCCUCUGACCUGGGAAGUCUCAGUCAUCCCCGAGGACCAAUUCCAAAUGUCAAUUCAUUCACCACCAUUGCCCUUGUCAUUGCAUCCACUCCUCCUCUCUCUCUGACUUGUGUUAAUGGUAGGUAACUGUGUAUGAAUCUAGGCUGGGGGUUUGUCUUUGAGGUCAAGGACUAUUUCUGAUUCACUGUGUGUCUCCCUAAAUCCUUCUUCCACCCAGCAAAGAUGCUCAAAAUAUAUAUACAAAUGAUAGCCCUUUGUCCUGUACCUUUUCUGAGCUUUGGAAUGUCUCUCUGUACUGAUAGAGCAUCAUGCAACAGACCCAGCAGAGGAGGAAAUAGCUGUGAGAUUAUCUGCCCAUUAUAGCAGGAUUCAAAGAAAGCUGCUUUCAUGCCAGGAAGCCAGGGGAUCGUAGUAAACGGCUGUCUUUAACCAAAGACAGGGAUCUUCCACUAUUAGGAGGGAUCUUCCACUAUUGAAAGUUGAGACCCUGGGACCCCUGUCUCAUCUAUCUCUGCCAUCAGACCUGCCGCUUCUCACAUAGUUGCAUAUGGACAAGAUGCCUCAUUUUGGUGUGCACUGGGAGAUCUGGCCUAUCCAUGAAACUCUCUCCAUUGGUUGCCUGUUGAAAGGGCUCCCUACCAAUUUGGUCAUAACACAGACCAAAUUGAGGAGGUUAAAAGAGAUCAAGUGUCUGAACAUGGCUUCUUUGGACUCUAGGAGGAGUUGAUCAAGUGUCACUCCAGUGCAUAUACUGUUUUUAUGCACAGUAUGGAUUUGAACAUCCUGGUGAGUGAGUCCAUGUUAACAGUAUGUUCUCAAGCAGGAAUAUGCAGCUCUAGCUUCUGUUUUUAGAAAGCUCAGAGAUUUUUUGCACUGGAAGAGAAUUAGACAUCCAACAUCCUCAUUUCAAAAGGAAACUGAAGUCAGAGAGGAGAAGGGACUUCCCAAUGGUACAUAACCUGCUAUUGGCAAAGGUGGGACCAGAGCCCUUAAGUUUUUCAACUUCUCCAGCAAAUUCCUCAUAUCUAAGAGCAACGCUUCAGUUUUCCUUAAUAAAGUGCCCCAGAUCCUCACAUUCAUCCCUUUCAGAGUGCAACUUCCUACUUGGUUUACAAAUGAGUCAAGAAAAGAAAAUCUCCUCUUUAGCAAUGUAGUGUGGGACCAGCUCACUUGAGUAUGCAAAACUUGUCCUUGAGAGCUGCUAGCUCUUUACUAUUUUUUCUGGGUGCAACAGUGUGCAUGUCACCCCACCCUUACUGCCUGGCUGUCUUCACACAUCACCUUCUCUGAGAGUGCUUCUCUAAUAUCCCCACCCAAAGAGCUCCCCACAUAUGCAAAUCCAUUGAUUAUCAUGUCUCUUUGCUUUUUCAGUCUCCAUGAAAAUUAUUGAGACCUAAGAUGUAAGACCUAUUUCUGAUUAUUUUGUUUAUUGGUUGUCUUCUCCCACCAGAAUGUAAGCCACAUGAGGUUAGGAGCCUCUCUGUCUUAUUCUCUGUAGUAUCUCUGGCUCCUAGAGUACUGCCUGGUACAGGGUUGCUACUUCAUUAUUUCUUACUGUAUAUGAGAAUGAAUGAGUGAAUUGAAAAGCAAUUGAACUCUGGUUGUGCCUUACAGGUAUAGCAGAAGUUGUCUGCACAGAGAGGAAGGAAGGAGACGAUCUUUGAUAUGAAUUCUGUUGGCCAAUGAGGCCUAGAAUGUUAACAAUUAAUGGCCACAUUUUCCUAGUUAACUACAAAGCAAGAGUGAAAAGGAGAUAAUGUUGGACUAACUAUUUGACUACAUUGUCUGAUUUAUCCAAAAGGUGGUAUGGAAUUUUGAUCCAGUAGUGGUACAUCAUCUUUGAUAAUACACACGUACACAUAAGGGAGUGUACACACCCAUAUACACUCACUCACACUCUGCUAUUGCCUACUACCUAUUAGAUACUCCCAACAAAAGCUCUUAAACUAAAAAUGACAUGGUGUUGUUAAGUUUCUCAGGGAAAUCCACCUAUCUAUGGAACUCAAGAGAGCAGAGGGCUGGUCUCUGGAGAAAAAUAAAACAGGGUCAAAAACCAAUUUUAUUUGUUAUUUUUCACUGGAAAUACAUGGUUAAUCCAAGAACUAGCAAAGAGGUGUUGAAAAAGAUUCUCUGAUGUCAUUUGUUUUUUCUUUUUCUUUUUUUUUUUUUUUUUUUUUGAGACGGAGUUUCUCUCUUGUUGCCCAGGCUGGAGUGCAAUGGCACAAUCUCAGCUCACUGCAACCUCUGCCUCCCAGGUUCAAGCGAUUCUCCUGCCUCAGCUUCCUGAGUAGCUGAGAUUACAGGAGUGCGCAACCAUACCUAGCUAAUUUUGUAUUUUUAGUAGAGGCGGAGUUUCUCCAUGUUGGUCAGACUGAUCUCAGACUCCUGACCUCAAGUAAUCCACCUGCCUCAGUCUCCCAAAGUGCUGGGAUUACAGGCCUGAGCCACCGAGCCCAGCCUCAUUUGUUUUUUCAUACAGAUAUAUCUCAUCUGCAUUAGAGGUAGAUCCAAGAUUAAGAUGUGAACAUGUUCCAGCUUUAAUUUCAGUUGUUUUUCUUUUUUAAAUAAAGAAAAGCCAGCAAUACAAUUUGUUUCUCAUUGAGCACUAUACACAUUCAGCUAUGACUGAGAAUUUAGAAGAUACAAAUUCAAACUCCAGUUUAAUUUCCUUUUUCCUGUUUGACUCCAAGCUCAGUAGGUGAUCUUAUAAGUUGACAGGGGUAACAUUGCACCUAUUAGCACUUGUCAACCAAAAGUAGAUUGUUCGGGUUUCAAUAAAUGUUUUUUUGAAUUGGAUUUAGGUUGGUGAGAAAAUAUAUUAAGUCAGAAUUCUUUGAGGCAAAUUACAUAUUGAAAUGAACAGUUUGGUGUUCAUCCUGUCUACCAUCCCCCUCAAAAACAAAGAGACAGACAGAAAGAAAAAAAAAGCAGAAGUUUUGCUUUUCUAAGCUACGAGAAUUUCUUCUGCUGCUACAUCUGUGAACGCUUUACAAGGCAAUGUCUACAGUUUGAGUUUUACAGCCCAUUUUGAUUGCAGUUUACAUGACAUCUGGGGCUCUAUUUUUGGAGAAAUUUCAAAGCUAGUGACUUCCAGUUUUUAAUCAGCAGUGUAUUUAUUUUCUACCCUAGCAUAAUUGUUCAUGGCUCCACAUUGAUUUUUUUAUAGGAGACAAUGCAAAAUGAUAAUCAGAGUGAAUUAGUAAUUUGAUCUUGUAUCUGUCAAGGCUUGAUGGCUUUUACCUGCUCUAGAGGCUAGAAGGCAAUGUGCUGACCUCAUUGUGUUGAAAAAAAUUGAACACAUCGUGGUUGUCAAGGACAAGACAUUCUCAGUCAUAAGAACAAAGAGAGCAAGAAAGGCUAAUGAGGGAAGAGGCCAUACAACCCUGAAAAGUACACAGCCUCCUGCCCCUCUGCUCAGAAUCUGGGGUCAUGUUUGCAGCCACAGGUGCCACAUGCAGAAGUGUCAGAGGUGUGAAAACCAGAGCAACUCCAUCUUGAAUAGGAGCUGGGUAAAAUAAGGCUGAAACUUGCUGGGCUGCAUUCCCAGACAGGUUAAGGCAUUCUAAGUCACAGGAUGAGAUAGGAGGUUGGCACAAGGUACAGGCCAUCAAGACCUUGCUGAUAAAACAGGUUGCAGGUUGCAGUAAAGGAGCCAGCCAAAAACCACCAAAACCAAGAUGGCCGUGAGAGUGACCUCUGGUCAUGCUCACUGCUGCACUGCCACCAGCGCCAUGACAGUUUACAAAUGCCAUAGCAAUGUCAAGAAGUUACCCUGUAUGGUCUAAAAAGGGGAGGGAUUAAUAAUCCACCCCUUGUUUAGCAUAUCAUCAAGAAAUAACCAUAAAAAUGGGCAACCAAUAGCCCUCAGGGCUGCUCUGUUUACAGAGUAGCCAUUCUUUAUCCCUUUACUUUCUUAAUAAACUUACUUUCACUUUGCACCACGGACUUGCCCUAAAUUCUUUCUUGCGCGAAACCCAAGAACCCUCUCUUGGGGUCUGGAUAGGGACUCCUUUCCAGUAGCGCAUUUAACAGAAGGACAGGCUGUGCAGACAUUAUUUUCGCUCCUUUCUACUGAGAAGGGAAAACACCACAAUUGAGCAGCCUGCUCCUCUAUAAGUGAAUGAAUAAGCACUUGCUUUUCAUUGUGGGUGAGUCAAAUGGCCUGGCAUAUAUGCAAGUAAGAACUAGAGCAGAGGCUGCUCACCUGCAAACUCACAUCAGGGCUUCUGCCCGGAAUUACGGUAUUUUUUGUUUGUGUGUGUGUUGUUGUCAUUGGCUUCUUUUCAUAGGGGUUUGGAUGAAGCUAUUUAAACACAUGAGACAGCAGCCACUAGGACUGUAUCUAAGAAGACACCUUGGGGAGGAAAAAAGGAAGCAGCACUGAUCUGAGCCUCCUGGAAACUCAACAAGUGGCCUGACCCUUGAAGGGUUUCUUCACCGUGUCUGGUAAAGUUUCCAAAUUCUGGAGAUGUGGAAGCAGAGGCACAUUACCAGAAGGCCAGGUAAUAAGCAUGUUGGCAAGUACUACUGCUGGCCCUGACCCACCAUAUCAUACCACAGGACCAUCCACACCCAUCCCCUAUCCCAAAACCACACAUCCACACUCCCCACCACCACCUUAACACACACACACUGCUCAUUUCCCUCUGGAGAUAUGCAGGGCUCUCCAUGGUCAAAUGACCCUAAAUCCUCUGGUGAAUCAGGUUGAAUCAGAGCCCAUGAGUCAUCCAGAGCACAUCUAACCCAGGGUUAAUUUAUUCAGCAAUCAUUAAGAAAGCAAGUUCCUACUGCCAGGUGCCGUCCUAGGCAUGACAGGCUGAUGUUUCUAGAACAUAUUUGACAGCCUUUCUCCCCAAGUCACACCAUGAAGGAGAAACCAUUUCAGUUAAGAAUGGUGAGUCAAGAGCUUGGCAUGGAGGUAUUACCAAGGAAGAGAUCUGUGUUGAGCCUGUGUGCAGAUCCUUAGCAUUUAAUUUAUUCUGCAAGGACACACAAGGUGGUAGGAAACCACUCCAGGGAACCCACCGAAGAGUCAAGCAAAGCAGAGCAUGGGUGCAAUCACAAGUCAUAGUGUGGGGUGGAGAGGCAAGGAUGGGGGAAGAGCAAAGAAAAGGAGGACUUCCCUCAGAAGACCUGCUACUUUUAAACUCAACCUUGGCCAAAGAACCAAGAAGCACUUUAGCAACUUCCCCAUGCUCGUCUCCAAAAUUUCCUAGGAUCUGAGAGGUGGAGGAGAGGGAGCUCCUUACAGGGAAAUGAACAGAGAGUGAUGGUGGGGCCUAGUUUGGGUUAGGCAAUGUGGGCUACUGUGAGGGUUUUAAAAUAUAAAUAUGCAGAACACAGAGGGCUUUUAGGGCAGUCAACUACUUUUAUGAUACUAUAAUGGUAGAUACCUGUCAUUAUACUUUUGUCCAAACCCAUAGACUGUACAAUACCAAGAAUUAACCCCAGUGUAAACUCUGAACGUUGAGUGAUAAGGAUGUGUCAGUGUAGGUUUAUCAGUUGUAACAAAUGGGCCCCUCUGUGGGGGAUGUUGAUAAUGGGGAGGCCAUGCAUGUGUGAAGGCAGGGAGUAGAGGGGAAAUCUCUAUACUUUCCAUUCAAUUUAGCUGUGAAUCCACAACUUUCCUAAAAACUAAACUAUAUUAAAAUAAAAAAUCUUAAAUAAAAAAACCACAUGUCUGCAAAUUAUAUGACAAUCCCCUUAGAGAGAGGGAAGGCCAGCUGGGCACAGUGGCUCAUGCCUGUAAUCCCAGCACUUUGGGAGGCUGAGGUGGGUAGAUCAUGAAUUCAGGGGUUCGAGACCAGCCUGGCCAACGUGGUGAAACCCCAUCUCUAUUAAAAAUACAAAACAUUAGCCAGGCUUGGUGGUGCAUGCCUGUAAUCCCAUCUACUCAGGACACUGAGGCAGGAGAAUCACUUGAACCCAGGAGGUGGAGGUUGUAAUGAGCUGAGAUCACACCAUUGCACUCCAGCCUGGGCAACAGAGUGAGACUUGGUCUCAAAAAAAAAAAAAAGAGAAAGAGACAGAGAGAGAGGGAAGGCCUAUAGCAUUUCCCCUUGUAUCUGAGCAAGCUUCUAACUUACUUGUAAUCAAAAGAAUGUGGCAGAAGUAAUGCUCCAUGACUUCCAAAGCCAAAUGGUAAAAGACCUUGCAGCCUCCAUCUUGUUCUCUGGAACAUUUGCACUUGGAGUUCUGAACCCCAAGCCACGGUGUAAGAAAUUCAACUGCCCUGAAACCACAACUACAAUGAAAGGAAUCUCAGGUGUCUGGAGCAGCCAUGUGUAAGAGUGCUGAAGGUCACAGCUGAGUCCUACCCCAGAGCCAGCAUCACCUGACUGACUUGUGAAUUAAUCAACAUUUCAUGAUCCCACUCUCCCACAGCCUUGAAUUCCCCACAGCCUUUGAGUCUUCCUAGUUGAGGCUCAGAUGUUGUGGAGCAGAGGUAAGCAGCCCCUGCCAUGCCCUGUUCAAAUUCCUGGCCCAUGAAAUCUGUGAGCCAAAAAAAAAAAAGUUAUUUUUAUGUUUUAUGCUCCUAAGUAGAUGCAAACUGUAGUGACUUGCAGGGCUUCCUUGAUCCAAUGAUGAGGAUUGGGGGUGUUGGAGGGUGACCUGUGUCAGAAAAAGGAGAAAGAGGAAUGCACAGACCAGGCCAUGCCACUAUGGAAGACAAACAAUGAUCUGAACAGUGCUAUUUGUACAGACGGUCCACAACUUAUAAUGGUUUGACUUACAAUUUUUUGACUUUAUAAUGACACGUAAGCAACAUGUGUUCAGUAGAAACCAUACUUCAAAUAUCCGCCUACCAUUCUGUUUUUCACUUUCAGUUCAGUAUUCAAUAAAUUACAUGAGAUAUUCAACACUUCGUUAUAAAAUGGGCUUUGCGUUAGAUGAUUUUGCCCAACUGCGGGCUAUGUCCUUGUUUGUUGCACGAACAUUGUUCAAGUAUGUUUAAGAUACGUUAGGCUAAGAGAUGAUGCUCAGCAGGUGAGGUGUAUUAAAUGCAUUUUCAAACUAUAAUAUUUUCAACAUACCCCGUCAUAAGUUGAGGAGAGUCUGUACUAUUUGCUUUUUUGAGGUGAAAAUGGAACCUCAUGUAAACACAUUUCACGAAGGAUCCCUGGGCCUGGCCUCUGGCAUCACAGCCUUGCAGUGGUCACUGGGGAUGCACACAGCCUCUCUUGACUGCUACCCUAAUCAACAGCAGACAGGAGCCUCCUCCUCUUCAGAGGCCCUUCCCGUGGUUGGAAGCCAAACAACUUCAUAGUGGGACAUCUGUCUAUUUCGCAUAGGCUCCUUGGAGAAAUGCUGGUGGACAGGAUUUGAAGACUUGCAGUCAGGAAUUCAUUCCUCCCAGCAGGGGAUGGGGGCUCAACUCCUGGUGACUCAGACCCUGGCAGGGGCUUCUGCCACUUCUUGCUUGUUCCCUCACCACCUCCCAGGGGUUUUUUUAGGUGAUGACAAAGAUUGUGUCUCCCCAAAAGGUAUCCCAAAAAC